GAUUAAACCUGAUUGAGCGGAAUAGCCCGCAGCGCAGCGAGGACUAUAAGCGAAAGCGGGACUGUAA
rnacentral:sRNA from 1 species